rnacentral:lncRNA from 1 species
GAGCACCUCUCUCCUCAACCAGUCUGCUUGAGGUUGGUGGGUGGUGGGUAGAGAAGGCUGGUGGGGGGGACCAGAAACCUCUCUCUCGGUGGACUGUUGGGACCACUGUGAAAGGGACCCCAUUUCCUCCUGCUUGUUUCACGCCCACCCAGGCUGUGAGCUCCCUCGGUAGUGACUGUCACCGUGUAAGGACAAGCCUUGGCAUCGCGCCGACUGUGGGGAUGCUUUGCUUUGUAGUUUCCCAAAGACCAGAGGCAGCCUGGACUUUGCCCUCUGACCCUGGUCACUUUGGGGAGGAAGGUGGCCAGGAUGUUAGCUCCAUUUCCUGAAGGAGGAGACGGGUGCUAAGGACCCUCCGUGCUGGAGGCUGGGGAGCGCGGGGUCCGGCCAGGACACCUCUUCCACCCUGCGGGCCAGAGUUGGUACCAGGCCCCCCUGGGAGCACCCUUCGAGCAAGAACUGAGGUUUCCUGCCCUGCUCCUCCCAAGACCAAUCUCUGUGCUUGGUCUGGGGUGCCACAGUCGUCCGCAAGGCUGUCAGACCAGCCCGUCUUCAAGGUGCCGGACGGGUGAGGUGAGGCGUGUGAAUGGUCAUCGUCUCUGCCUGGCCUCGGAGGCACCGGGGGCCCGUCCACUGCCGAGGCUCCUUUGGAAGAGGGCCUGACUGUCUGAAUCACAGGAGCCAGCUCCUGGUCACCAGGGAGCUGGGACAGAAGGGACUUCCCUAGAGCAGAGGCAAGCGUGGUCCUACCACGCCGUGACCCACCUCCCAUGCCUGACACCCGGCUCAGGCCCAGCCCAGGCCGGCCUCUCUCCCCACCCAGACCCCUCACACGUUCCCUGCUCCAUAUUCUCCAGAAACCAUCAUGCAAUCUGCAAAUGUUCCUUGUAUUUCUAAAAAUAAAGACUCG